rnacentral:rRNA from 1 species
AACGCGAAGAACCUUACCAGGGUUUGACAUGCAUGCGCACCACCGAGAGAUCGGUGUGCCCGCAAGGGACGCAUGCACAGGUGCUGCAUGGCUGUCGUCAGCUCGUGCCGUGAGGUGUUGGGUUAAGUCCCGCAACGAGCGCAACCCUCAUCGUCGGUUGUAUGUUUCCGACGAGACUGCCACGAUGAACGUGGAGGAAGGUGGGGAUGACGUCAAGUCAGCACGGCCCUUACGUCCUGGGCGACACACACGCUACAAUGGCCGAGACAACGGGAUGCCAACCCGCGAGGGGGAGCCGAUCCCAGCAAACUCGGUCUCAGUUCGGAUUGCAGGCUGCAACUCGCCUGCAUGAAGUCGGAGUUGCUAGUAACCGUGAGUCAGCACAUCACGGUGAAUCCGUUCCCGGGCCUUGUACACACCGCGUGUCU